rnacentral:rRNA from 1 species
UACAGAGGGGGCAAGCGUUGUUCGGAAUUACUGGGCGUAAAGGGCGCGUAGGCGGCCUGUUAAGUCGAACGUGAAAUCCCCGGGCUCAACCCGGGAACUGCGUCCGAUACUGGCAGGCUUGAAUCCGGGAGAGGGAUGCGGAAUUCCAGGUGUAGCGGUGAAAUGCGUAGAUAUUGGGAGGAACACCGGUGGCGAAGGCGGCCCCCUGGACCGGUACUGACGCUGAGGCGCGAAAGCGUGGGUAGCAAACGGG